rnacentral:snoRNA from 1 species
UGAUGCGUCAAGCAACAACUGAUGUAAUGAGUCCGAGCUGGCCUGUGAGGACGCUUUUUGCCCUGA